rnacentral:tRNA from 1 species
GCAGGUGUGGUUCAAUGGUAGAAUGCGGCCUUGCCAAGGCUGAGACGUGGGUCCGAUUCCCAUCACUUGCUCCA